ACGGAGGGUGCAAGCGUUGUUCGGAAUUACUGGGCGUAAAGGGCGCGUAGGCGGUUUGAUAAGUCAGAUGUGAAAGCCCACGGCUUAACCGUGGAAGUGCAUUUGAAACUGUCAGACUUGAGUACCAGAGGGGAAAGUGGAAUUCCCGGUGUAGAGGUGAAAGGCGUAAAUAUCGGGAGGAAGCCCGGUGGCGAAGGCGACAUACUGGCUUGAUACUCACGCUGGGGCGCGAGAGCGUGGGGAGCAAACAG
rnacentral:rRNA from 1 species